AAGCCAGGUCAUGAUACCAGAUAUACACAAGUCAAUAUACAAGCCAGGUCACGAUAGCAGAUACCCACGGGUCAAUAUACAAGCUGGGUCACGAUACCAGAUACCCACGGGUCAAUAGAUAAGCCGUGUCACAAUACCAGAUAUACACAGGUCAAUAUACAAGCCUGGUCACGAUAGCAGAUAUACACAAGUCAAUAUACAAGCCUGGUCACGAUAGCAGAUAUACACAAGUCAAUAUAAAAGCCAGGUCAUGUGUGUUCAGUGUGUGUGUGACUGUGUGUGUGUCUUGAAG